ACGAUUUGGUAGCCCAAUCGGCGAUUCACGGGUUAAACUUGAGGAUUUGACGAUGACCUUUGUUUCGCAACCGUGGGAGCCUUCCAGGGGUCCGGCAUAAAACGACAGAACUCUAGUCCUUGUUGAAGGGCGUUGAUGGGAGUGACUGAUGUAAUCAGACAUGUCUCACCAACUACCUUGCACGAAUUUGCAGCAGUCUCUUCCUCCUACCACCAGUGUCUGAAAUUCGCUACAUCAAAUGGCAUCUGUUGCGUAAAAGGAUCUCAGCAGAUAGCCAAAACAUGCUACUUAAAC
rnacentral:lncRNA from 1 species